rnacentral:rRNA from 1 species
AACGAACGCUGGCGGCAUGCCUAACACAUGCAAGUCGAACGAGAUCUUCGGGUCUAGUGGCGCACGGGUGCGUAACGCGUGGGAAUCUGCCCUUUGGUUCGGAAUAACAGUUGGAAACGACUGCUAAUACCGGAUGAUGACGAAAGUCCAAAGAUUUAUCGCCAGAGGAUGAGCCCGCGUAGGAUUAGCUAGUUGGUGUGGUAAAGGCGCACCAAGGCGACGAUCCUUAGCUGGUCUGAGAGGAUGAUCAGCCACACUGGGACUGAGACACGGCCCAGACUCCUACGGGAGGCAGCAGUGGGGAAUAUUGGACAAUGGGCGAAAGCCUGAUCCAGCAAUGCCGCGUGAGUGACGAAGGCCUUAGGGUUGUAAAGUUCUUUUACCCGGGAUGAUAAUGACAGUGCCGGGAGAAUAAGCUCCGGCUAACUCCGUGCCAGCAGCCGCAGUAA